GUCGAGAAUCAUUCGCAAUGGGCGAAAGCCUGACGAUGCGACGCCGUGUGAACGAUGAAGGCCUUCGGGUUGUAAAGUUCUUUCGCUUGGGAACAAGAGAGGCUGACGAAUAAUCAGCUAAUUUGGGCGUACCAGGUAAAGAAGCACCGGCUAACUCCGUGCCAGCAGCUGCGGUAAUACGGAGGGUGCAAGCAUUAAUCGGAUUUAUUGGGCGUAAAGGGCGCGUAGGCGGGAAGAUAAGUCGGAUGUGAAAGCCCAGGGCUCAACCCUGGAAUUGCAUUCGAAACUGUUUUUCUAGAGGGUAGGCGGAGAAAACAGAAUUCCACAUGUAGCGGUGAAAUGCGUAGAUAUGUGGAGGAAUACCGGUGGCGAAGGCAAUCCCCUGGGCCUGCACUGACGCUCAUGCACGAAAGCGUGGGGAGCAAACAGGAUUAGAUACCCUUGUAGUCC
rnacentral:rRNA from 1 species